rnacentral:rRNA from 1 species
AACGAACGCUGGCGGCAGGCUUAACACAUGCAAGUCGAGCGGGCCCUUCGGGGUCAGCGGCGGACGGGUUAGUAACGCGUGGGAACGUGCCCUUUGCUCUGGAAUAGCCCUGGGAAACCGGGGGUAAUGCCGGAUGUGCCCCGAGGGGGAAAGGUUUACCGGCAAGGGAUCGGCCCGCGUCUGAUUAGGUAGUUGGUGGGGUAACGGCCCACCAAGCCGACGAUCGGUAGCUGGUUUGAGAGGAUGAUCAGCAACACUGGGACUGAGACACGGCCCAGACUCCUACGGGAGGCAGCAGUGGGGAAUCUUAGACAAUGGGCGAAAGCCUGAUCUAGCCAUGCCGCGUGGAUGAUGAAGGCCUUAGGGUCGUAAAGUCCUUUCGCCGGGGAAGAUAAUGACGGUACCCGGUAAAGAAGCCCCGGCUAACUCCGUGCCAGCCGCCGCCGUAACAC